GGAGUUGUGGCUCAGCGGUAGAGUGCUCGCCUAGCAUGUGAGAGGCCCUGGGUUCGAUCCUCAGCACCA
rnacentral:tRNA from 1 species